rnacentral:rRNA from 1 species
CACCUGACCCCAUGCCGAACUCAGAAGUGAAACGCCGUAGCGCCGAUGGUAGUGUUGGGUCUCCCCAUGCGAGAGUAGGGAACUGCCAGGC